UACGUAGGGUGCAAGCGUUAAUCGGAAUUACUGGGCGUAAAGCGUGCGCAGGCGGUUGUGUAAGACAGAUGUGAAAUCCCCGGGCUCAACCUGGGAACUGCAUUUGUGACUGCACAGCUGGAGUGCGGCAGAGGGGGAUGGAAUUCCGCGUGUAGCAGUGAAAUGCGUAGAUAUGUGGAGGAACACCGAUGGCGAAGGCAGCCCCCUGGGCCUGCACUGACGCUCAUGCACGAAAGCGUGGGGAGCAAACAGG
rnacentral:rRNA from 1 species